AUGGUCCAGGAAUCCUGGGCGAAAUGCCUGCGCUUUCACAUCGAGGAUUUGCCGGAGAAGGAAAAACUGAGAUGGAAGUUGAGCAACUUCGCAAAGAAGUGAAUGUGCAGAGACAGCAGUAAUGGGCUGUGUCUAAAUGUUCGGAAGAAAUAAAGAACUAUAUCGAAGAGCGUUCUGGAGAGGACCCUCUGGUGAAAGGAAUCCCAGAAGACAAGAAUCCCUUUAAAGAAAAAGGCAGCUGCAUCAUUUCAUAAAUAGCUCUGGGGAGAAACUUUAUCCUCAGUGGAAGAACUAGUUUAUUUUAGUUUUCCCAAAUAAAACCAACAUGCCUUUUAAGGAAGUAAAAAUGAAACUUAAAGGAGACUUUCUUAAGCACAAUAUAGAUAGAGUUAUGUAUAAAAGCAUAUGUGCUUCUCAACUUUGCUUACUAGGCACCCUUUUUAAAAGGACAAAAAGUAUCAGAUGUACAAAUAAGAACAUUACAUGUGCAUGACUCACUUCUUUCAGUAUAUUGCUUGAUGCCUCAAAUAAAGUUUUAUCUUGGGAAAAUGA